UUUGAACAUAAAUGUGGAUAUAUAGAAGUUUUUAGGUACUGGGAUUUCUUUUUUUUUUUUUUUCCUGUCAGUGAACACCAAAGGAAGAUAAUUACAAGUUUUUCAAGUCUUCUAAAAUUGAAUUACCUCCUUUUGAUAUCUCGGCUUAGAAGAAUACAGAAUGUGGCCACAUGUUACUCUUCUACCAAUGUCAGGAUAAAGCAUGCCUUAGGACCCCUCAAUGGAGAACUACGUCCAUUCCAUGCUCCUUCCAACUACCUUGAGAAAUGGCUCCAAAUUUUCCUUAAUAUUAUUCUGAAUUGCUCUAUGAAUUCCUCCAGAAAAUGUAAAAGAGCAACCGAACCGUCAACUGGUACAAUGACUUCUACACGUCAGACCUCGGCCACACCACAGCCAUCAGAUUAUUCUAUCACAGCGUCUCUCAACCGUGGAAUAUGGUCUCCAAGGGAAACAAGCCAGAGAGGGCUCAGGAGCAUUGCUAUAAAGCAGAAGGCAAAUGGAAAUCUUUCCCCAAAGGGCACACUAGGAUUGUUAGGUGAGGGCUGCUCAAUCCAUUAA
rnacentral:lncRNA from 1 species